UUUUAAAUGGCCGCAGUAUUUUGACUGUGCAAAGGUAGCAUAAUCAUUAGUUUUUUAAUUAAAAGCUUGUAUGAAAGGCUGGACGAGGUAAAAUCUGUCUCUAUUUAAAUUAUUAUAGAAUUUAACUUUUAAGUUAAAAGGCUUAAAUAUUAUUAAAAGACGAGAAGACCCUAUAGAUCUUUAUAAUUUAUUAAAUUAAAUUAAUUUAGAAAUAUUAAUGUUUUAUUUAAUUAAAUUAUUUUAUUGGGGUAAUAGAAAGAUUAAAUUAAUUCUUUUUUUUAAUAAACAUUUAUUUAUGAAUAUUAAUGAUCCAGUUUUACUGAUUAUAAGAUUAAGUUACCUUAGGGAUAACAGCGUAAUUUUUUUAGAGAGUUCAUAUCGAUAAAAAAGUUUGCGACCUCGAUGUUGGAUUAAAGAUUAUUUUAGGUGCAGAAGCUUAAUAAUUUUGGUCUGUUCGACCAUUGAAUCUUUACAUGAUCUGAGUUCAGACCGGCGUAAGCCAGGUCGGUUUCUAUCUUUAAUAAAAUAGAAUAUUUUAGUACGAAAGGACCAAAUAUUUAAUAUAUUUAUAUUUAAUUAAUUGAAUAUUA
rnacentral:rRNA from 1 species